rnacentral:rRNA from 1 species
GAUGAACGCUGGCGGCGUGCCUAAUACAUGCAAGUCGAGCGAACAGACGAGGAGCUUGCUCCUUUGACGUUAGCGGCGGACGGGUGAGUAACACGUAGGUAACCUACCUAUAAGACUGGGAUAACUUCGGGAAACCGGAGCUAAUACCGGAUAAUAUUUCGAACCGCAUGGUUCGAUAGUGAAAGAUGACUUUGCUAUCACUUAUAGAUGGACCUGCGCCGUAUUAGCUAGUUGGUAAGGUAACGGCUUACCAAGGCAACGAUACGUAGCCGACCUGAGAGGGUGAUCGGCCACACUGGAACUGAGACACGGUCCAGACUCCUACGGGAGGCAGCAGUAGGGAAUCUUCCGCAAUGGGCGAAAGCCUGACGGAGCAACGCCGCGUGAGUGAUGAAGGUCUUCGGAUCGUAAAACUCUGUUAUUAGGGAAGAACAAACGUGUAAGUAACUGUGCACGUCUUGACGGUACCUAAUCAGAAAGCCACGGCUAACUACGUG